AGCUUUGCGCAGUGGCAGUAUCGUAACCAAUGAGGUUUAUCCAUGGCAAGAUUAUUGCUAAUUGAAAAG
rnacentral:snRNA from 1 species